UCCAUGCAGUCUUCCAAAGGAACUACACCAGUCUGCAUUCCCACCCGCAGUGGCGCGGAGUCCUUCCCGCUUGCUCCCUUUACUUUGUGGAAAUGAAUAAAGACAGACGUUCACAAUGUUAUUUCACUUUCUUGUGACUGUUAUACGGCAAUCCCGGUCAAGAUUAAAAAAGAAAAGUCUUAGAAAUUGGAUAGCCGUACUGGGACACAGGAACUAAACAGCUGUGUGGUGCGUAGAAUGUUCUUCUAGACUCAAGUACACCACUUAUAAGUCGGGAAGAAAGGAUGGAAAUCAGUGCUGUUUACAAGUCGUGAAGCAGUUGUGCUGCUUCGGAAUAUGGGCUUUCUGCAUACGAAAGACACUGGGAUCUCUGUCCUUUCCCUCUUUCGGAAUCUCUUUGCCUUUGGGAGAUGUGAGUGUUUGGAGGACCUCGGGUCAUCUGCGGUAGACUGGCUAUUCAACAACAUGGAAAAAUUGGGUUGAGCUUUGCACACCACUGGAGACUGUGCUCGUGCUAUUUUUGUCUGUGCUGGAUUUUGUCAAUUUUUAAAAUACUUGAAAAUCUCUAGGCAACGCAUUUCUGUAAUUUUCAGCCUUGUCUGUAAUAAAAGACAAACGAUGUUUA